rnacentral:tRNA from 1 species
CACUAAGAAGCUUAUAGGGACAAGCAUUAGCCUUUUAAGCUAAAGACAGGUGACUCCCAACCACCCUUAGUGG